CCUACAGGAGACUGCAGUGAGGAAUAUUGGUCCAUGGACGGAAGUCUGAACCAGCCAUGCUGCGUGCAGGAAGACGGCUCUAUGAGUUGUAAACUGCUUUUGUACAAGGGUAAACCUGAAUACGUGUAUUCAGCUGAAAGUACUGUACGAAUAAGGAUCGGCUAACUCCGUGCCAGCAGCCGCGGUAAUACGGAGGAUCCAAGCGUUAUCAGGAUUUAUUGGGUUUAAAGGGUGCGUAGGCGGAUUGAUAAGUUAGAGGUGAAAUGUCCGAGCUUAACUCGGGAACUGCCUCGAAUACUGUUGAUCGAGAGAGUAGAUGCGGGAGGCGGAAUGUAUGGUGUAGCGGUGAAAUGCUUAGAGAUCAUACAGAACACCGAUUGCGAAGGCAGCUUACCAAUCUAUAUCUGACGUUGAGGCACGAAAGCGUGGGGAGCAAACAGGAUUAGAUACCCUGGUAGUC
rnacentral:rRNA from 1 species